rnacentral:rRNA from 1 species
UGCAAGUCGAACGAGAAUCUACUGAAAGAGUUUUCGGACAAUGGAUGUAGAGGAAAGUGGCGGACGGGUGAGUAACGCGUGAGGAACCUGCCUUGAAGAGGGGGACAACAGUUGGAAACGACUGCUAAUACCGCACGAUGCAUAGGGGUCGCAUGAUCUUUAUGCCAAAGAUUUAUCGCUUCAAGAUGGCCUCGCGUCUGAUUAGCUAGUUGGCGGGGUAACGGCCCACCAAGGCGACGAUCAGUAGCCGGACUGAGAGGUUGAACGGCCACAUUGGGACUGAGAUACGGCCCAGACUCCUACGGGAGGCAGCAGUGGGGAAUAUUGGGCAAUGGGCGCAAGCCUGACCCAGCAACGCCGCGUGAAGGAAGAAGGCUUUCGGGUUGUAAACUUCUUUUAAGAGGGAAGAGCAGAAGACGGUACCUCUAGAAUAAGCCACGGCUAACUACGUGCCAGCAGCCGCGGUAAUACGUAGGUGGCAAGCGUUGUCCGGAUUUACUGGGUGUAAAGGGCGUGCAGCCGGGUCUGCAAGUCAGAUGUGAAAUCCAUGGGCUCAACCCAUGAACUGCAUUUGAAACUGUAGAUCUUGAGUGUCGGAGGGGCAAUCGGAAUUCCUAGUGUAGCGGUGAAAUGCGUAGAUAUUAGGAGGAACACCAGUGGCGAAGGCGGAUUGCUGGACGAUAACUGACGGUGAGGCGCGAAAGUGUGGGGAGCAAACAGGAUUAGAUACCCUGGUAGUCCACACUGUAAACGAUGAAUACUAGGUGUGCGGGGACUGACCCCCUGCGUGCCGCAGUAAACACAAUAAGUAUUCCACCUGGGG